AACGAACGCUGGCGGCAGGCUUAACACAUGCGAGUCGAGCGCCCCGCAAGGGGAGCGGCAGACGGGUGAGUAACGCGUGGGAAUCUACCCAUCUCUACGGAAUAACGCAUGGAAACGUGUGCUAAUACCGUAUACGUCCUUCGGGAGAAAGAUUUAUCGGAGAUGGAUGAGCCCGCGUUGGAUUAGCUAGUUGGUGGGGUAAAGGCCUACCAAGGCGACGAUCCAUAGCUGGUCUGAGAGGAUGAUCAGCCACACUGGGACUGAGACACGGCCCAGACUCCUACGGGAGGCAGCAGUGGGGAAUAUUGGACAAUGGGCGCAAGCCUGAUCCAGCCAUGCCGCGUGAGUGAUGAAGGCCCUAGGGUUGUAAAGCUCUUUCACCGGUGAAGAUAAUGACGGUAACCGGAGAAGAAGCCCCGGCUAACUUCGUGCAGCAGCCGCGGUAACAC
rnacentral:rRNA from 1 species